UACGAAGGGGGCUAGCGUUGUUCGGAAUCACUGGGCGUAAAGCGCACGUAGGCGGAUCUUUAAGUCAGAGGUGAAAUCCCAAGGCUCAACCUUGGAACUGCCUUUGAUACUGGGGAUCUUGAGUCCGGGAGAGGUGAGUGGAACUGCGAGUGUAGAGGUGAAAUUCGUAGAUAUUCGCAAGAACACCAGUGGCGAAGGCGGCUUCCUGGUCUGCGACUGACGCUGUGGCGCGAAAGCUAGGGGAGCAAACGGG
rnacentral:rRNA from 1 species